GUUGGGCGUAAGGCCCAGUGCUGCCCGUGUCCUCAGGGCAGUAAUUCAUUGCGCGCAUUGCACUAAUAAGAUUAUCUUGAAUUUGUUGUUUAGCGCGUAUGCAUUGCUUAUACUCACGCUGAUCCUCCAAUGACGACAGUGUAAGGUAAAGCCUAAUGAAUUAGCAUCUUCAUAACAAGAAUCUGUCUUUCUUCCUCUAUAAUGGCGCAGCAUUCAUUCGCAGGCAAGCAGGGGAAAGCAGGAAAAGGGGGACUAGACGGCACCGGCAGUAAGUGGCCAUCAUGCAGGUGCAUACACUGACAUUAUGCCUUGUCAUUUUACAUUCCAAGGUCACGAGCAGGAGAAUCGCAAGGAUUAGGACAAGCGCAAGGAUGGUGGUAAGGAUAUGAACAAGAGUCGGGCUCAAACGGGACGUGGCAUGCCACGUAGCGGCCGUUCGGAGGUAUGAAGCCUCUGGUUGCAAGACCAUGGCUAUUAACAAAAUGCUUUUUAUUGCCUUAUUUCGAGGCACGUUAUGCCGGUGUCACACCUACAGCCGUCAUUGUACGUAACAUGCUCACAACUAUGUGUUCCUGCCUAAACAAUGAUUUGUUGUGAUCCUUUCAUAUGCAGAUAUAUGUCGUCGUUCGUGAAGAUGACAUCAGCGGAGGCGAGGAUUGAGCGCUUUAAUAAGAAGACAAUAGUGGCUGUAUUGUGGUACAUUUACAUGCGCUUAACAUUUGUGUGUCCAUUUUUUCUGACGUUAGACUGUUGGACCCUUUUCCAUGGUAAGAGUUGCUGGCUGAGUUGCAUCGGUCAUGUUAGGAUUUGCUAUGAAUGCGUACCUGUCAUUCAGGGAUAGUUCAAAUGUAUGAAGAAAGCAGUGAGUGCUGUGGUUCACAGCUGUGAACCUGCAGGUCAUGUGCAACGGCGGUGCACUUUGCACAUUGUACAGCUCGUGUACUGCUAUUGUAAAGCUUUUGUAUUGCACGGUUGGCCGUACAGUUCGCAGUCCCGCACGCAAGUCGCAGUCACUCGCGUAAAUUCAAAUGGUAGCACAUGCAUUCGCAGGAUUCGCAUCGCGUAUGCCAUUCGCUAAUCCCUUGCGUUUGGCGAUUUAGGGUCGCGUAAAACUCGCGAAUAUCAUUCGCCACAUUCGCAUGUGCAUACGCAUUCGCACCAUUCGCAUGCGUAUGCGUUACACCUAUAGCUAAGCUAACGCUCGCGUUAAAAGUCACCUGGUCGCGUUUAGGGUCGCGUAAAACUCGCGAUUCAUUCGCCACAUUCGCAUAUGCAUACGUAUUCGCACCAGUCGCAGCCGCGUAUGCGUUACACCUAUAGCUAAGCUAACGCUCGCGUUAAAAGUCACCUGGUCGCGUUUAGGGUCGCGUAAAACUCGCGAUAUCAUUCGCCACAUUCGCAUAUGCAUACGCAUUCGCACCAGUCGCAUGCGUAUGCGUUACACCUAUAGCUAAGCUAACGCUCGCGUUAAAAGUCACCUGGUCGCGUUUAGGGUCGCGUAAAACUCGCGAUAUCAUUCGCCACAUUCGCAUAUGCAUACGUAUUCGCACCAGUCGCAGCCGCGUAUGCCAUUCGCUUGCGUAUGCGUUACACCUAUAGGUAAGGUAACGCUCGCGUUAAAAGUCACCUGGUCGCGUUUACGAUCGCGUAAAGUUUGCGUUAGUUUGCGUUAGUUGCUUUAGCUAACGCACUGCCAGCCAAAAUUACUCAGCUCGUUCGCAUGCGAAUAAAGAUGAUGUGCGUUAGGCCAUACGCACAAGCGAACCGGUGCGUUAUCAGUGCUUAAGAUCGCGUUACAUCGCGUUAGCGUCGCGUUAACUCGCGUUNNNNNNNNNNNNNNNNNNNNNNNNNNNNNNNNNNNNNNNNNNNNNNNNNNNNNNNNNNNNNNNNNNNNNNNNNNNNNAUGCGGAUAUAUGCCGUCGUUCGUGAAGAUGACAUCAGCGGAGGCGAGGAUUGAGCGCUUUAAUAAGAAGACAAUAGUGGCUGUAUUGUGGUACAUUUACAUGCGCUUAACAUUUGUGUGUCCAUUUUUUCUGACGUUAGACUGUUGGACCCUUUUCCAUGGUAAGAGUUGCUGGCUGAGUUGCAUCGGUCAUGUUAGGAUUUGCUAUGAAUUCGUACCUGUCAUUCAGGGAUAGUUCAAAUGUAUGAAGAAAGCAGUGAGUGCUGUGGUUCACAGCUGUGAACCUGCAGGUCAUGUGCAACGGCGGUGCACUUUGCACAUUGUACAGCUCGUGUACUGCUAUUGUAAAGCUUUUGUAUUGCACGGUUGGCCGUACAGUUCGCAGUCCCGCACGCAAGUCGCAGUCACUCGCGUAAAAUUCAAAUGGUAGCACAUGCAUUCGCAGGAUUCGCAGUCGCGUAUGCCAUUCGCAAUCCCUUGCGUUUGGCGAUAUGCUCGCGUUAAAAGCUCACCUGGUCGCGUUUAGGGUCGCGUAAAACUCGCGAAUUCAUUCGCCACAUUCGCAUGUUGUUGUUGUUACAUGGUCGUGGGUGCGUUCCCCGUACCUGCA
rnacentral:lncRNA from 1 species